rnacentral:rRNA from 1 species
GAUGAACGCUGGCGGCGUGCCUAAUACAUGCAAGUCGAGCGAACAGACGAGGAGCUUGCUCCUCUGACGUUAGCGGCGGACGGGUGAGUAACACGUGGAUAACCUACCUAUAAGACUGGGAUAACUUCGGGAAACCGGAGCUAAUACCGGAUAAUAUAUUGAACCGCAUGGUUCAAUAGUGAAAGACGGUUUUGCUGUCACUUAUAGAUGGAUCCGCGCCGCAUUAGCUAGUUGGUAAGGUAACGGCUUACCAAGGCAACGAUGCGUAGCCGACCUGAGAGGGUGAUCGGCCACACUGGAACUGAGACACGGUCCAGACUCCUACGGGAGGCAGCAGUAGGGAAUCUUACGCAAUGGGCGAAAGGCUGACGGAGCAACGCCGCGUGAGUGAUGAAGGUCUUCGGAUCGUAAAACUCUGUUAUUAGGGAAGAACAAAUGUGUAAGUAACUAUGCACGUCUUGACGGUACCUAAUCAGAAAGCCACGGCUAACUACGUG